CCCUCCUCGCUGAUGCAGGGUCAGAUGGUAUCAUAAAGGAGUAGCUAGAAGCUGUCCCUAAUCGCUGAUGCAGGGUCAGAUGGUAUCAUAAAGGAGUAGCUUGAAGCUGUCCCUAAUCGCUGAUGCAGGGUCAGAUGGUAUCAUAAAGGAGUAGCUAGAAGCUGUCCCUAAUCGCUGAUGCAGGGUCAGAUGGUAUCAUAAAGGAGUAGCUUGAAGCUGUCCCUAAUCGCUGAUGCAGGGUCAGAUGGUAUCAUAAAGGAGUAGCUAGAAGCUGUCCCUAAUCGCUGAUGCAGGGUCAGAUGGUAUCAUAAAGGAGUAGCUUGAAGCUGUCCCUAAUCGCUGAUGCAGGGUCAGAUGGUAUCUCAUUGCCCAAGUGGUUAAAGGGAUAGUGUGAGAUUUUGGCAAUUAAGACUUUUUGUUCUACUUACCCAGAGUCAGAUGAACUUGUGGACACCAAAACAGGCUGAAAUUCCAGGCAGUCUUUUCAAACAGCUCUAACACUAAAAGAGCAUCAUCAUCAUUUUAACAUUUUCACAGUAUUAUUCCAUCCUCAUAAUAUGGAAAUAGAUUAAAAUAAAAAACAAGUACAUCACUUUUUUUGACUGCACGGGUCCUUUAAGGUCAGGGUACGGUUAGGGUUGACUGAUCCUAAAUCUGUGGUUAUUUAGAGGCAACCUACCAUACGUUUUCUAGGACGUCACAAUCAGGAUGCAUCUCAAACAGGCAUUGGCCUGUCCAGUAUACACACAAACCUAUUAUUCAUGGAGAACUGAUCAUGUUUUUAUACGAUGUUUUGUAUAUCAUGAUUUAUUCAUUUCUCUUUUUGGGAGAGGGAUGUCUUGAUUUCUUCUGUUGGAUGUGUACAGAUCCUCUUCACCUUACAUUUUUAUUUUAUUUUUUACAUUUUUUUUUUUUGUGGUGCACGACCAUUUUAAAACGGAGCAUAUGUCAUGAAAAUUCCUCCUCGUUUUUAAUGAAGAAUUGAUGAUGAUGAUGAUAGUGAAGAUGAUUAUCAGGGACAUGACCCCCUGACCUUAGUGACGGUUGUGGGGUUCAAAGGUCGGGGGUUCAGGAGUGGGGUUGUGUGAGGGUCAUGAUAUAAAAAAUACAUGGUUCAAUCUGAAAGUUGUACUUAUUAGGUCUGUUCCAGUCGAGCUUGCACACAACAACCAAUGGUUAUAUGCCACGUCAUGGACUUCAGUCGGGUAUCAGAUUGCUACAUCCGAUGGUAUCUGUUUCCCAGACACAGAUUUGUCCUGGACUAAACAUUCUCCAUGGAGAUUUUUCAUUGGAAUACAUUUUGAAUCAGGUACCAGACUUAAUCUGUCUGGUUAACUGGACCUAGAUGUGGUCAGCUGAUAGGUUAAACAUCUAUCCAGCCACUGAAGCGUAAUCAGCCUGGAACAUGUCCUCUGAGACGUAGUAAAAAGCUGGUAUUUAAGUUCACUAGUCCGGCUGUCACCAUCCACACCAUGAUGUAUGUUGGACCCCCCCCCCUGGAGACGCCCCCCCCCAACACAAGCCUAAUAUAAUAUUUGUUGUUUUCAUAAAUGUUCUAUCCAGUGCCAAGAGCAGUGAUUGUUAUCUGGAUCUUUCAUGGUUUUAUUUGCAGUUUCUGUCUUUUUAUUUUCUUAUCGUUCAGAGUGUAACUGCCUAACGUCGCUGAUUUAAAUAAAGUAAAUUGAUUUAUAAGUAA